rnacentral:rRNA from 1 species
UACGGAGGGUGCAAGCGUUAUCCGGAUUUACUGGGUUUAAAGGGUGCGCAGGCGGAUAUGUAAGUCAGUGGUGAAAUCUCUAGGCUUAACCUGGAAAUUGCCGUUGAUACUAUAUAUCUUGAAUGCUGUGGAGGUAAGCGGAAUAUGUCAUGUAGCGGUGAAAUGCUUAGAUAUGACAUAGAACACCUAUUGCGAAGGCAGCUUACUACGCAGAUAUUGACGCCCAUGCACGAAAGCGUGGGGAUCAAACAGG